rnacentral:rRNA from 1 species
UAACGCGAAGAACCUUACCUACUCUUGACAUGUCUGGAAUCCUGAAGAGAUUUGGGAGUGCUCGAAAGAGAGCCAGAACACAGGUGCUGCAUGGCCGUCGUCAGCUCGUGUCGUGAGAUGUUGGGUUAAGUCCCGCAGCGAGCGCAACCCUUGUCAUUAGUUGCUACGAAAGGGCACUUUAAUGAGACUGCCGGUGACAAACCGGAGGAAGGUGGGGAUGACGUCAGGUCAUCAUGGCCCUUAUGGGUAGGGCUACACACGUCAUACAAUGGCCGGGACAGAGGGCUGCCAACCCGCGAGGGGGAGCUAAUCCCAGAAACCCGGUCGUAGUCCGGAUCGUAGUCUGCAACUCGACUGCGUGAAGUCGGAAUCGCUAGUAAACGCCGAUCAGCACGCGGCGUUGAAUACGUUCCCGGGCCUUGUACACACCG